GAUAAACGCUGGCGGCGUGCCUAAAACAUGCAAGUCGAACGGACACUUCGGUGUUAGUGGCGAACGGCUGAGUAACACGUGGGUGACCUGCCUUCGAACGGGGGAUAACUGCCCGAAAGGGUGGCUAAUACCGCAGAUGUUGCGUCUUCGUUGGUGCAACUGAACUUCCGGGGUUCGGAGAGGGGCCUGCGUCCGAUUAGCUAGCUGGUGGGGUAACGGCCUACCAGGGCGACGAUCGGUAGCUGGUCUGAGAGGAUGAUCAGCCAGACUGGGACUGCGAACGGCCCAGACUCCUACGGGAGGCAGCAGUUAGGAAUUUGGGCAAUGGGCGAAAGCCUGACCCAGCAACGCCGCGUGGGUGAUGAAGGCCCUCGGGUCGUAAAGCCCUUUUCCAGGGGAAGAUAGUGACGGUACCCUGGGAAUCAGCCCCGGCUAACUACGUG
rnacentral:rRNA from 1 species